UUGAUUAUCAUCAACGAAUACUCUCAGUUAUUCAAUUAAUGAAAUUGAUGACGAACACUCCGAAAUGCAAAAUAUACCACUCAUACAAACUUCUAUCGGUUCGAAAAUUUCACCAGAAAAUACAUGUUUUCUAGUAGUGAACUCUGAAGAACAUGAUGAGUAUGACUAAAAAAACAUAAUAAAAUCUUCAUAAAGAGUGAAU
rnacentral:lncRNA from 1 species